GCGUUUGUGGUUUAGUGGUAAAAUCCAUCGUUGCCAUAAUCAGAAGAUAUAUAUCUUCUGAACAGUAUCGAUGGGCCCCGGGUUCGAUUCCCGGCGAACGCA